GGGCGCCCCACGGGCUUCCUCAGCUGUCUGAGGUCACCGCGUGACCCUGGGUCUCCAGAGAUUGGUCGGGGCUGGGACUGCCGAAGAUUGCCGAAAGGCGGCGGUGAGGAGGAGGAGGAUGUCAUCGCUAGAGUGAGCAAGCAGAUCUCGCGGGAGCAAGUGUCGCGAGACCUCUCCAGCUUCCAGAGGCUACUUGCAUUCCUUGGCUCCUGGCUCCCUUCUUCCAUCUCAAAGCCAGCAAUGAUGAGUAACACAGCGACUCUACAGGGGAUGGGGAGGAAAAGAACUCACCUAAGUACUGAGGGAAACAGUAUCUUGACUGGAUACCUAAGAAUAAACCAACUGAACUGUACGUAAAUUCUGUGAUCCACAUCGUAAGUAUUUCUCUCCAGUAUGCAUGUUAGAAUUAAGCAAAUAUAUUGUAGAUCAUGAGCUGUGUUUCUCACUGUUGUAGAAAAAAGUUAUUAAGUAAGGAAGAGGGGAAAGCUAAAAUGAAGCCUGUGGUGUUGGAUUGGAAUCUGAGGUAUCUGUAUAAACUCAUGGUUUUUAAUAUAUGUAAAAUAGGUACAGAAAUAUAGAUCGGUGUGUAUGUGUGAAUUAAUAAACAUAUAUGUCCUAGUUCUGUCUGCUGAGAGUAUUUAGAAGCAAUGAGGAUACCUAGCAGAUCUUGAUUUCUAAACACCAUUCUCCAAUAAAAAGAACAAGGAGAACCUUGGAGAAAUAACUGAUUCCUAGGCUGAGGCAGGGAAACUACCAGAUGAGCCUGGAAUAUAUUGUGAUGCCAGGAAAUAAUGCUUAAAAAAGGAUGUCACAAGAACACAGCAGCCAACCUGAAAGAGCUCCUAAUGGCCAAAGCAACAAAAUAAAUAAUGACAAUAUUGCAUUAUGACCCAUGGACCCAUAGGUAUUUAUUUUUAAUGUUCAUGCAUCCAUACUGAUACAAACAAAUAAUUGGUUAUUUAAAUGGAUGGGAGAGAAGGGACAACUCUUUCUUAGAGUAGAAUUCCAAUUAAUAAAUGGAGAAGGAAAGAGGGAUAACAAAAAUCACCACUAGGCAAACAUUGCAGUAAUAACUUGCAGACAGGAUCCACAGAUGGAUGCUAAAUUAGUAGGUGAAAAUUUGAGGAGAAACAGGAUUUACAUAGAUUCAAAGUGUUUCACCCAAGAUACAUUUUAGCACAAAGGGAAAGAUAGUAACUUAAUAAUGGUGAGGGACUUCCCUGGUGGCACAGUGGUUAAGAAUCCGCCUGUCAGCGAAGGGGAAACGGGUUUGAUCCCUGGUCUGGGAAGAUCCCACAUGACACAGAGCAGCUAAGCCCAUGGGCCACAACUACCGAGCCUGCGCUCUAGAGCCCACGAGCCACAACUACUGAGGCUGCGUGCCCCAAAUACUGAAGCCCGCGCACCUAGAGCCUGUGCUUCUCAACAAGAGAAGCCACCACAAUGAGAAGCCCACGCACUGCAGCAAAGAGUAUACCCCGCUCACCGCAACUAGAGAAAGCCCGCGCACAGCAACAAAGACCCAAAGCAGCAAAAAAAUUAAUUAAUUUUUUUAAAAAAUGAUGAAACUCAGCAAACCACCUUAACCAAGUGAUCAAGAUAAACAUCAUCAGUAACAAGACAUAUUUACAUCAUGAACCCCUUGAUAUUUUGCAUUGAGAAGGACACAGUAUCAUUUCUGUGGUAUUCUUGCUGAAAAUGUAUAAUCUCAUUCCAAUCAUGAAAAAAGCAUUAGACAAUCUGAAAUUGGGGGACUUUCCAAAAGAGAAUUGAUCAAUACUCUUCAAAACUGUCAAGAUAAUGAAAGACAAGGAAAGACCUGAAGACAACUGCAGACUGCUAGAGACUGGGAAGAAAUAACAAGUAAAUCUAAUGUGGAGUCCUGGAAAGGAUCCUGUAAAGAAAAAGGGACAUUGGUGGGAAAACUGGUGACAAUUGUAUAAUGUCUCUAAUUUAGUUCGUAAUAUUGUACUAAUGUUAAUUCCCUUGUUUCGAUAACUAUACUAAGGUUAUGUAAGAUGUUAACGUUGGGGAAGCUGGGUGAAAAAAAAUACAGGAAAU